CCCCACCGGCCUCUCGGGGCUCCAGGAUAACACCAAAGUGCCUUCCUACAGCGGAUGGAGCGUGGUGCCGGCUUCAGGGAGCUCACACACACCACUUUCCGCCUCGUCCCUACCACAGCUCUGCGCGGAGGUCGAGCACGUGUUAACUCGCCUAGGACAGGUGCUUCUGUGGAAGUGCUGCAACACCUUGGCUCCUGAAACUGGGCACUGUGGAUAGAGUCAGCUAGCAGUUGUUUGGCCACUAGGAUGCUCAAGGAAAGAGCGCUGGCAAGGAGAAAGGGCAUCUUCCACCUUCUGCCUGGGAAGACUGCCAGGUAAGUGUAGGUGUGGCAACUGCCACAGCUGCUGCUGCUGCUGCUGCUGCUGCUGCUGCUCCUGGAUUUCAGCUCCUCCGAAUGUUCUCUUAUGCCUUGGAGGCACCUUACAGAUAA
rnacentral:lncRNA from 1 species